rnacentral:lncRNA from 1 species
GGGCAGAAAGCGGACGCCCGCGGACCCACCAGCCCCGAACGGGGAUUCUUGGCCCAGCCGGCCGGCGCGCGUGAGGAGGGGCGUUAGGGCGCGCGGGGUCUCCACCUUCUGUCGACCCCGCGUCGGGUGUUGCAGUCUCCGAGGCGGCGAGGAGUCCUCUGGGCUCGGGCUUCACCUCUCGGGAAGGAGUCAAGACUGAGAACAACGAUCAUAUUAAUUUGAAGGUGGCGGGGCAGGAUGGUUCUGUGGUGCAGUUUAAGAUUAAGAGGCAUACACCACUUAGUAAACUAAUGAAAGCCUAUUGUGAACGACAGGGAUUGUCAAUGAGGCAGAUCAGAUUCCGAUUUGACGGGCAACCAAUCAAUGAAACAGACACACCUGCACAGUUGGAAAUGGAGGAUGAAGAUACAAUUGAUGUGUUCCAACAGCAGACGGGAGGUGUCUACUGAAAAGGGAACCUGCUUCUUUACUCCAGAACUCUGUUCUUUAA